rnacentral:sRNA from 1 species
AAGAGGUUGAAACUAACGGCUAUAAUGAAGUUUUGGAUUCUCUAAAGAUUUCAUUUAUCGGUGCUAUUGGUCUCCCCAUUAAAUGCAUGCCUGUUCUGUGUACCUUUGCACACAGUUUGCAUAACAUAUAAUAUUUAUUACUGAAACCUUGCAAACUUCUUAAAUUGUAUAGAAAAGGCUGUGAAACUCACUCUUAGAGAACAUAAAAAUAUAGAGAACAAAGGUCAUAACUCCAAAUAUUGAGUGAUACAGUGUUUUGAAAAAAAAAAAAACAGAAUAAAACAAAAUUAGUUACUGGAGUAGAAAAAAUAUGGUUUUAAUAUGUAUUGAUACAUGUCUUUUUGCCCUCCCCCAAUUUAGUAAAGAUGCACUAGGUGUUAAUAAUAUUCUUCUUAUCAUACAGUGUAUUUUAAUCUAGCAUUUUAGAAAACUUUUUACAAGUUCAUAGAUAAAAGCCCUGUCAGAAUGUGACUUUUCAUUUUCAGAUGUCGUGAACUGGAUUUCUGCAUGAUUUUUAUGGAAAUGACUAUACUUUUAAAAUGUAAAACUUUUAAUAAAACAAAACAAAUUUAAAGUCCUCAGACCUUUUCUUGGUAGGCCUCAUGUCCCCCUGUGAUUCUUAAGUAUACGUUAACUAGUUUCAGAUGUGUUUUGUUCGCUGACUCAAAAUCAGCUCUUUAUUUUAAGAAAAGAAAUUGUGUAAUUAGUACUUAAUUGCUUUGGAUAUUUUGGGCAUUUGGAGAAGAGGGUAAUUCAAAGGCCAGAGAAAUUAAACUUUCAGAAUGUUCUUUAUGUGUCUGUAAUUUCUUUUUAAAAAAUGCCCUCUAAAGACAGCCCUGACAACUUAAAAAUGAAUGAAGACCUGGGUUGUUUUUAAAAAUUAACAUCAUCUUUGGAUGUGGUUUUAUUGAUUUAUUUAAGAUAAAUUGGAGAGAGGACCAUUGAAGUGCUAGAAAACAAGAUACUAUCUAGUUCAUCUCCUUUUCAGGCAGGUGUUGUCUAAAUAGCUCACAGAUGGCAGUCUUCCUCUCUUACAUUUCAAGAUCUUCCAAGAUGAAAAUAAAUUUUUCCCCACUUUAAAAAUAUUACAUUUGAUCAAAUUUAAAUAUUUGCAUAAUUAAGAAUGGUAUAUGGUCUGCUGGGACCAACUGCAACUUGGUUGACAUGGGCACAUAUCCUGUAUCUGCAGUGAUUUGAGAGGUCUAGGUCUUGUUUGGUCAUUUAACUUCUCUAGGCCAGUUAUAUUGUGUAUAAAUUGGAAUGUUGGACUAGUAAUCUCUACAAUUUUACUAGUUCAGAAAAGUUUCUGAGGCACCCAUUAUCUAAAAAUCUAUGUUUUGUGAAUCUGAAGGUUAACAGGUCUGCUUUUAAGUGAUAAUAUUCCUAUAUUAAUUUUGAUAAUGAGCACUUGAACUAUGACAUUAAUGAACUUAAUGGUUAUGAAAUAUAUUGGGUUUUUAAAUAUAUACCUUAAACCAGAAGACCCUUACUUUGUAUCUACUGUAGUUGCUGAAUAAGACACAUAUGCAGGAUUUGAAGAUUGGUUUCAUAUUGAUUCCCAACCAUUUGUGGAAGUCAUACUAAAAGUACUAUUUCAUAUUAUUGCCAUUACCUUUUUUUCAUUCUAACUAAUAUUAUUUUUACUUUGUUCUUAAUCUUUAUCAUUUUUUUCUUGAAGAAAACCUCUUAUAUUACUGUUGAAGAAACAGUGAAACUUGAAGAAACAGUUUAUGUUACUUAAACAUCUAGUUUCCACUUAGAAAAUUCAAAGAAUCAUAAGUAACUACUUGGCUCAAACAUACGCAGUUUUAUAAGAGCCUGUAUGAAAUGUGUGAUUCUCAAGGAAAACAUAAAUUGUAAAACUGACUAUAAAAGAGAUAUAUAUAUCAACAGAUCAGUAGCCAAAGAGAAAAGAGUUGCCCACCCAACAAUGGCACCAGGCACAGAUUGGGUUUUGUGGAGGAAUUCUACUAAAAUGUUAAGGAGUGGAUAGGUCCAGUGUUAUUUAAAAUACUUGAGGCCAGGCAUGGUGGCUCAUGCCUGUAAUCCCACCACUUUGGGAGGCCGAGGCAGGCAGAUUAUUUGAGGUCAGGAGUUUAAGACCAGCUUGGCCAACAUGGGGAAACCCUGUCUCUACUAAAAAUACAAAAAUUAGUCAGGCAUAGUGGCAUGCACCUGUAAUCCCAGCUACUUGGAAGGCUGAGGCAGAAGAAUCACUUGAACCGAAGAGAUGAAGGUUGCAGUGAGACGAGAUCGCGCCACUGCACUCCCACAUGGGUGACAGAGCAAGACUUCAUCUCAAAAAAAACAAAAACAAAAAAAAAGCUUGACUUCAAAGAAAAAUUUUCCCAUCAGUAUUAAGGAAAGAGAUGCUGUCUUUUUUACAAAAUUGAGAUGAACCUCAGAUGAACAUGUAGAACAGACAGUUGGGACCAAGGAUGAAAGAUAACAGUGAGAGUUCUCCAAUAAAACCUUGAACUUUGAGCCUAGUUGGUGCCUUUGUGCCUUGUUGAUAAUUAGGGAAUUAAAUUAAGAAAGGAAAUUAUUGUCAGUCUGGAUAGGCUUUGUAAAGACAUGGAUACUGUUAAACAUGCACUUGUAUUUUACUCAUUCAUCUUUUGGGGGCAUUAAGUGUCCUGGGGCCUAGAACAGUGAACAAGGCCACCUGUUUCGAAAUGCUGCUUCCUACCCUGGUACCAUCAUUUCAUCUGAACUUUGCCAAGUUGUUACCUCGUCCUUUCUUAGAUCUAGGAUGAAGGAAGCAAGCCAAAGGUUGAAACAGAGGAGAUGGGACCGUGAGAGUUUAGUAAAUAGAUUAAAGGAAGAAGAUUACCCAAUACACAGCAUUUUACAUGUUUGGCAUAACCUCUUUACUAUAAAAACUAGAAGUCUAAUAUCACCAAUGGUGACAAAGACUUCCAGAUGCUAUCCUUUGGCUACAAUUAUUAUUGAAUCAGCUUCAUGUUGAGAGAGAAAGAGUGAGAGGGAGGGAGAAAGAGAGACAGGGGUGUGUGUAUGUGAGAGAGAAAGAGAGAGAGCAAGCCAGUUGUAGUUUGUUGAAGUUCACCACAAAAAGAUGGGAAGGAUCCCCAGCCACACUUGAUGUUUUGUGUUUAAGUUUUGAGGUUUGGGAUUGUUAAUUUUCAUAUUAAGUCAGCCAUGCAAUUUAAAUUGUAGAUAUUAUGUUAGUAAUUUUGGUGCAGUGAACAGGAGUGCAGCAUCUGUCUUUUAAAGGGAUUUUUAUGUGUGCAUUUGGAUUGCUUGGUGACCUUUGAAAUUUUGUUUUGCACUGUUAUCAGAAACGUAAUCAUUUUUCUUUCUGAAGCAGAUUUUAACAUCUGAAAAGGUUGAUGAAGCUAGGAUAGUUUUAGUGAAAUAUUAAUCUAUCUUUUUUAAUGUCACCAUUGCUUUUAAAACUGUUCAUCAGCUACCGGAAACAUCAGCUUAAGGCACUGGAGUUGAUUUUAAUUAAAUAUUCUCAUUGUGGUCAGAGUAUAGUUACAGAACAGAAACUUGUCCAGUCUUCUUCAUCUAUAGCUCACUUUCCAAAUUCUCUUGUUUUUAAAGUCAUAUUAUUUCAAUCUGUAUUUCUUUAUCUCAAUAAUUAACUUGAGAUUUUUUAUAUUUCAAGGAGGGGAGAUUGUUCUGAAUACUGGCACCAAUCCUUCAAAAUCUAGACAGCUUAAGGAUAUUGACUUUUAACAAAAUUUAACUUAAAUGUCUACUUUAAAUAUGUGUCUUGUCAUUAAAAGGUUAUUUACAUUUAAAAUGCUGACCUUUCAAGAUGUGCACAAGAGUGUUCUAAAACAGAGUUUCUGAACAUUGGCCAUGAAACCACUGUCUUGGGCUGACAAAUGGAUUGGAAAUAAGCUACCCAACACUGGGAAUGGGCCAUUAAUUUUAAUCAAAGGUGAUGCAGGAAGGCGAAUGGGAUGCAUGACAAUGUCAACAGCCCAGUAGGUGUUAAGAGACCACACAGCCUUCCUUGUUACUUGGUCGGGCCAUUAGUUGAGGUUGGGUGAAGACAGAAAGCCAUGUCUGGAAUUGAAUGACCAGGUCACUCCAAAAUCUAAUGGAGAACUCCCCAUUUCAGAAAUCACAUUGUACUGCCAUUAGAAGUCAAGGACAGCAUUUAGAAAAUAUUGGUGGAUUUUUUUUUUUUUUUUUUUUUUUUUUAACAAUCACCUUUCUAGUUUUUCCCAACUUUGUCAAGCUUCCUGUUUUCCUGCUUUCUUUCCUUCUGAAUAGAUCAUUGAUAUUUACAGGGGACUAAGAAAUCGAACAGACUUAGGAAAAAAAAUCUUAAAGCCUUAAAAUUGCUUUUCAGAGUUACAUAUUGUUAUAAAACUCAGGUAAAUGCCAGAAACAAUAGCAUACCAAAGGAAUUAAGCAGGAUAACUAAUUCUUUAUGGCGAUCUCAUUGUCCUUGUCUCUUUCUUGUGUGUGGGAAUAGUUUCACUAAUUGAAACUAAACUUUCGUAAUUGCUUUACUGAAGGCAUUUUUUCAUAACUGUAAAGGCCACUGUGCUUGCCCCUUUACUAUAAAUUUUCAAUACUGGCUGAUAACAUUUGUAAUUUUCACAGCGGUGAAAGCCUUUAUUUUAAAUCAGUAAGUAUAUUACCUUAUUUUGAGUACUUUCAAUUACAAAAAAGGUAGUAUAUGACAGCUUGAACUCGUGAUGUUUAUAAUAACGAAAACAUGCGGAAAAAAUGAAAGAAGCAUAUCUGAAGCAUAUUUAUGCUUCAGGGUUGUUCAGAAAGUUCAUUAUUUCUGACACAGCACUGCAUGCAGAAAAAAGAUAUGUAUGACUACAGUAGUAAUUUUUAUACAUAUUUAAGAAAUAAAAACAAAUAUAUUCCUAUCUUGUUAAUUGAAUAGUGUUUUAAGUAAAUAGUGUUUGUUCUUCCUGUAGAUGAAGAUCAGCUUCGUGCAAAGGGUUAUGACAAAACACCAGACUUCAUUUUACAAGUACCAGUUGCUGUAGAAGGGCACAUAAUUCACUGGAUUGAAAGCAAAGCCUCAUUUGGUGAUGAAUGUAGCCACCAUGCCUACCUGCAUGACCAGUUCUGGAGCUACUGGAAUAGAUUUGGGCCAGGCUUAGUCAUCUAUUGGUAUGGAUUUAUCCAGGAGCUGGACUGCAACCGGGAAAGGGGCAUCCUGCUCAAAGCCUGUUUCCCCACGAACAUUGUCACCUUAUGCCACAGCAUAGCUUGACCCUGAAGAUCCUGGAAGAGAAGCUGGGAGGAAAAGAGACCCAGCAUUGCAUUACCAUCGUGGAAUAAUCUAGCGCAAACCUAGGAAAGCUGAAGCCACAAAGUCCAAAGCCACCUUUGUACUCACCUGCAGAGCUCCAGAAGACCUUGAUGGCAGCCUGCCUAUGCUGUGUGUUUGCUAUAUUCAAUCUUUACGGCUUCCUGACUUCUGUGACAGUAAGCCAAGCUGCAAAAAUACACUUGAUGAGAAUUUCCUCUUUUAAUAAUGUUAUUUGAACACCACAUAUUUUAGAUUUAUCUUAUUUGAAAGUAUUAGUCCCAUUGUGCCUGGAAACCACACUCCUUUAGAUUGGGGGCCGAGAGGCGACAACCCAACAUUGAGGAGAGUUUAUUUUUAAACAUGGCUAGUUGUCAGUAUGUACGUGAGCUAGUAUUGUUAUGAGUCGAGUUUUUUAAAGGCACAUUCUGUAUACUGCUUAGUAUAUGCAUUUUAUACCAUGUAAUUAUAAAACACUCGAGUAAGUUCAGCAUUAGAAAUGUUUAGCUUUGUAUGAACUGAGUGUGCCGGAAAUAAACCUGGAACAAUUUUUAAAUAAGCAAAAUAAAGGAGAUUUUUCUAUUUGUUCACUU